UACGUAGGGUGCAAGCGUUAAUCGGAAUUACUGGGCGUAAAGCGUGCGCAGGCGGUGAUGUAAGACAGGUGUGAAAGCCCCGGGCUCAACCUGGGAACUGCAUUUGGGACUGCAAGGCUGGAGUACGGCAGAGGGAGGUGGAAUUCCACGUGUAGCAGUGAAAUGCGUAGAGAUGUGGAGGAACACCGAUGGCGAAGGCAGCCUCCUGGGCUAGUACUGACGCUCAUGCACGAAAGCGUGGGGAGCAAACAGG
rnacentral:rRNA from 1 species